UCAUAAAUACACGUUCCUCUCCCCCACCGUA
rnacentral:piRNA from 1 species